rnacentral:rRNA from 1 species
UGCAUGGCUGUCGUCAGCUCGUGUCGUGAGAUGUUGGGUUAAGUCCCGCAACGAGCGCAACCCUUGUCAUUAGUUGCCAUCAUUGUUGGGCACUCUAAUGAGACUGCCGGUGACAAACCGGAGGAAGGUGGGAUGACGUCAAAUCAUCAUGCCCCUUAUGUCUUGGGCUUCACGCAUGCUACAAUGGCCGGUACAAAGGGCUGCGAUACCGCGAGGUGGAGCGAAUCCCAGAAAGCCGGUCUCAGUUCGGAUUGGGGUCUGCAACUCGACCCCAUGAAGUCGGAGUCGCUAGUAAUCGCAGAUCAGCAGCGCUGCGGUGAAUACGUUCCCGGGCCUU